rnacentral:rRNA from 1 species
UCAGGAUGAACGCUAGCGGCAGGCUAACACAUGCAAGUCGAGGGGCAUCGGGAGUAGCAAUACUGCCGGCGACCGGCGCAAGGGUGCGUAACGCGUGAGCAACAUGCCCGUAUCAGGGGGAUAAUCCAUGGAAACGUGGUCUAAUACCCCAUAGUAAUUAUGUAAGGCAUCUUAUAUAAUUUAAAGCUUUGGUGGAUACGGAUUGGCUCGCGUGACAUUAGCUGGAUGGUAAGGUAACGGCUUACCAUGGCUACGAUGUCUAGGGGUUCUGAGAGGAAGGUCCCCCACACUGGAACUGAGACACGGUCCAGACUCCUACGGGAGGCAGCAGUGAGGAAUAUUGGACAAUGGAUGGAAAUCUGAUCCAGCCAUGCCGCGUGCAAGGAAGACGGCCCUAUGGGUUGUAAACUGCUUUUGUAUGGGAGCAAUAAGGGCUACGUGUAGUCCGAUGAGAGUACCAUACGAAUAAGCACCGGCUAACUCCGUGCCAGCCGCCGC